rnacentral:lncRNA from 1 species
GUGAGGACAAGGUUCCUGGCGGUGAGGACAAUGUUCCUGACGGUGAGGACAAGGUUCCUGGCGAUGAGGACACGGUUCCUGGCGGUGAGGACAAUGUUCCUGACGGUGACGACAAGCUUCUUGCCGAUGAGGACAAGCUUCCUGGCAGUGAGGACAAGGUUCCUGGCGGUGAGGACAAGGUUCCUGGCAGUGAGGACAAGGUUCUUGGCGGUGAGGACAAGGUUCCUGGCGGUGAGGACAAGGUUCCUGGCCAUGAGG